rnacentral:rRNA from 1 species
CAAUUUGGNUUUGGGGGGGAACUCAUGAAGGAGGACUGCCCGGGGUUUCAAUUCGGGAGGGAAAGGUUGGGGAGAUGACGUCAAAUCAUCAUGCCCCCUUAUGUCCCAGGGGGCUUCACAACAUGCUACAAUGGUUCGGUACAACGGCGCAGCGAACACUGUGGAGGUGGAGCGAAUCGCUGAAAGCCGGCCUUAGUUCGGAUUGGGGUCUGCAACUCGACCCCAUGAAGUCGGAGUCGCUAGUAAUCGCAGAUCAGCAACGCUGCGGUGAAUACGUUCCCGGGCCUUGUACACACCGCCCCUGAAUCACUAGUGAAUUCGCG